UGAGGAAUAUUGGUCAAUGGGUGCAAGCCUGAACCAGCCAUCCCGCGUGAAGGACGACUGCCCUAUGGGUUGUAAACUUCUUUUGUAUAGGGAUAAACCUACUCUCGUGAGGGUAGCUGAAGGUACUAUACGAAUAAGCACCGGCUAACUCCGUG
rnacentral:rRNA from 2 species